rnacentral:rRNA from 1 species
AACGCUGGCGGCGUGCUUAACACAUGCAAGUCGAACGAUGAAGCCCAGCUUGCUGGGUGGAUUAGUGGCGAACGGGUGAGUAACACGUGAGUAACCUGCCCUUGACUCUGGGAUAAGCGCUGGAAACGGCGUCUAAUACCGGAUACGACCUGCCCCGGCAUCGGGUGCGGGUGGAAAGUUUUUCGGUCAAGGAUGGACUCGCGGCCUAUCAGCUUGUUGGUGAGGUAAUGGCUCACCAAGGCGACGACGGGUAGCCGGCCUGAGAGGGUGACCGGCCACACUGGGACUGAGACACGGCCCAGACUCCUACGGGAGGCAGCAGUGGGGAAUAUUGCACAAUGGGCGAAAGCCUGAUGCAGCAACGCCGCGUGGGGGAUGACGGCCUUCGGGUUGUAAACCUCUUUUAGUAGGGAAGAAGGGCUUCGGCUUGACGGUACCUGCAGAAAAAGCACCGGCUAACUACGUGCCAGCAGCCGCGGUAAUACGUAGGGUGCAAGCGUUGUCCGGAAUUAUUGGGCGUAAAGAGCUCGUAGGCGGUUUGUCGCGUCUGCUGUGAAAACCCGAGGCUCAACCUCGGGCCUGCAGUGGGUACGGGCAGACUAGAGUGCGGUAGGGGAGAAUGGAAUUCCUGGUGUAGCGGUGGAAUGCGCAGAUAUCAGGAGGAACACCGAUGGCGAAGGCAGUUCUCUGGGCCGUUACUGACGCUGAGGAGCGAAAGCGUGGGGAGCGAACAGGAUUAGAUACCCUGGUAGUCCACGCCGUAAACGUUGGGAACUAGAUGUGGGGACCUUUCCCCGGUCUCCGUGUCGCAGCUAACGCAUUAAGUUCCCCGCCUGGGGAGUACGGCCGCAAGGCUAAAACUCAAAGGAAUUGACGGGGGCCCGCACAAGCGGCGGAGCAUGCGGAUUAAUUCGAUGCAACGCGAAGAACCUUACCAAGGCUUGACAUAUACCGGAAACGUCCAGAAAUGGUCGCCCCGCAAGGUCGGUAUACAGGUGGUGCAUGGUUGUCGUCAGCUCGUGUCGUGAGAUGUUGGGUUAAGUCCCGCAACGAGCGCAACCCUCGUUCUAUGUUGCCAGCACGUUAUGGUGGGAACUCAUAGGAGACUGCCGGGGUCAACUCGGAGGAAGGUGGGGAUGACGUCAAAUCAUCAUGCCCCUUAUGUCUUGGGCUUCACGCAUGCUACAAUGGCCGGUACAAAGGGCUGCGAUACCGUAAGGUGGAGCGAAUCCCAAAAAGCCGGUCUCAGUUCGGAUUGAGGUCUGCAACUCGACCUCAUGAAGUCGGAGUCGCUAGUAAUCGCAGAUCAGCAACGCUGCGGUGAAUACGUUCCCGGGCCUUGUACACACCGCCCGUCAAGUCAUGAAAGUCGGUAACACCCGAAGCCAGUGGCCUAACCGCAAGGAGGGAGCUGUCGAAGGUGGGAUCGGUGAUUAGGACUAAGUCGUAACAAGGUAGCCGUACCGGAAGGUGCGGCUGGAUCACCUCCUUUCU